rnacentral:tRNA from 1 species
GGGUAAGUGCGCCGAAUUGGUGAAGGCAGCGGACUGUAAAUCCGUGACAUGGAAACGCUGUAGGUUCGAGUCCUACCUUACCCACCA